rnacentral:rRNA from 1 species
GAGCGGCGGACGGGUGAGUAAUGUCUGGGAAACUGCCUGAUGGAGGGGGAUAACUACUGGAAACGGUAGCUAAUACCGCAUAACGUCUUCGGACCAAAGUGGGGGACCUUAGGGCCUCACGCCAUCGGAUGUGCCCAGAUGGGAUUAGCUAGUAGGUGGGGUAAUGGCUCACCUAGGCGACGAUCCCUAGCUGGUCUGAGAGGAUGACCAGCCACACUGGAACUGAGACACGGUCCAGACUCCUACGGGAGGCAGCAGUGGGGAAUAUUGCACAAUGGGCGCAAGCCUGAUGCAGCCAUGCCGCGUGUGUGAAGAAGGCCUUCGGGUUGUAAAGCACUUUCAGCGAGGAGGAAGGCCAAUAACUUAAUACGUUGUUGGAUUGACGUUACUCGCAGAAGAAGCACCGGCUAACUCCGU